rnacentral:lncRNA from 7 species
AGUCCUACAGUAUGGUUGACCUGCUUGCAGCACUUCAGAAGGUUUUCCAGCAGCCCUUUGCAGUUAUACUCUGUCCACACUUCACUGCUGUUUUCUGCUUAAGCUGAAAGAAGAAUUCCUUCAAAUUUCCAAAAGGCUGAAGUUGGGUAUGUGGAUGAAACAGAAUGCGUCUCCAGAAUAGCUCCUGGUCUCCCAGUCAACUUGGUACAGGGCUUGGGAAGGUACCUUCUGCUCAUAAAUCAUCUACUGAGUUUUUCCUGAAGACCUUUCUCAGCCUUGUGCCAUCUGUGUACAUUGCAGCUCUUUUAGAGAAGCCUUUACACCAAACUUUUGCUGUAUUUGGACAAAGUCGCGUGCAGCCACGAAGCAAAAAUCUUCUUCUAUUUUCUUUUGCUUAAGUUAUCAAAAUGAGGAGCCGGGGAUUCCACAGAAAGGGAUUUCUACUAAAAGUUUUGCAGCUACGAGAAAUGGCGACGUGCCCACAGCCACAAGUGGAAAUCGCCUGCUAGGCUGGCAGAAAGCUGCUGGGCUCCUGCGAUGAACAACACAAACAGGACAGCCUGGUGGCUAAAAAAAGAGCUAUUGUUCCUCACGUUCGUGUCUAGGAUCUCUGCUUACACUGACCACAGUUCUCACACCUGUAAACACGUACAUCUUCCUGCUUAAAUAGGCUUAGGACUGUCUUGCUAAAAAGAGAGAAGACUGAAGUCCUUGAUGGUCUGAAUCGGACCUUGCUGCUGAAGUCAAGAGCUAGUUAACUUCAUGUUUGCAAGAAAUGCCACAAAAUCAAAGAACAACUGUGUGUGCUGCUCUGUGAAAUACUACUUGAAUGAAGGAAGCGCAGAAAAGUACUUCACGCAGGUGAUUAUAUAUACAAAAUAGGCUGAGAUGGUUUUCCUGCAGUGUGCACAGACAAUAAAAGACCAAGGAGCACAGCUCCACACUUCCCAGCUUUUGCUCAUGUUUAUGCCACAGUUCUCAGCAAGGUUCCUUUUGCAUCUAGGCUUGCCGUAGUUCCUAGUUUCUCCCUUUCUAAUAAUCUAAGCGACAAGAUGACAGAACAGAUUAGAAAAAUGCCUAUAAAUAAUACCGUACGUAAAGAGGCAUUUACCCACUGAGUCUUAAAUCUCUUUC